GACAGGGGAUGCAAGCGUUAUCCGGAAUGAUUGGGCGUAAAGGGUGUGUAGGUGGCGCGCUAAGUCGGGUGUGAAAUUUCGGAGCUUAACUCCGAAACUGCAUUCGAUACUGGCGUGCUUGAGGACUGGAGAGGAGACUGGAAUUUACGGUGUAGCAGUGAAAUGCGUAGAUAUCGUAAGGAAGACCAGUGGCGAAGGCGGGUCUCUGGACAGUUCCUGACACUGAGACACGAAGGCCAGGGGAGCAAACGGG
rnacentral:rRNA from 1 species